rnacentral:tRNA from 1 species
GCAUUAAUGGGGUAGUGGUAACCUGGGUCGUUGCCAUGGACACAGAUCGCUGAUACCUCUCGACCCGCCGGGGGUUCGAUUCCCUCUUAAUGCA